GAUGAACGCUGGCGGCGUGCCUAAUACAUGCAAGUCGAGCGAACAGACGAGGAGCUUGCUCCUCUGACGUUAGCGGCGGACGGGUGAGUAACACGUGGAUAACCCACCUAUAAGACUGGGAUAACUUCGGGAAACCGGAGCUAAUACCGGAUAAUAUAUGGAACCGCAUGGUUCAAUAGUGAAAGACGGCUUUGCUGUCACUUAUAGCUGGUUCCGGGCGGCAUUAGCUAGUUGGUAGGGUAACGGCUUACCAAGGCGACGAUGCGUAGCCGACCUGAGAGGGUGAUCGGCCACACUGGAACUGAGACACGGUCCAGACUCCUACGGGAGGCAGCAGUAGGGAAUCUUCCGCAAUGGGCGAAAGCCUGACGGAGCAACGCCGCGUGAGUGAUGAAGGUCUUCGGAUCGUAAAACUCUGUUAUUAGGGAAGAACAAAUGUGUGAGUAAAUAUGCACGUAUUGACGGUACCUAAUCAGAAAGCCACGGCUAACUACGUG
rnacentral:rRNA from 1 species